GUGUAGGUUUCUGGUUCUCAAACUGCCGGACAUUAACAUCUGUCUGCGGACUGUGAGAAUGCGGACCUCCCCAGGUCCAAGGAAAUUCUGAAUCCGUAGGUCUGAAGGGAGAUCAAGAAUCAGACUUAUUUUACUCAUCUGGAUUGUUCCAAGGCCCGUGAGUAGGGAAAUGCUUCUUCCAGUCCCUCCCCCACGGAUCCCACCCUUGGACUCUUGGAUCCAAGUACACUUUUAAAGCUACGAGUUGCCCCCUGGAAGGAAAACGCCCGCCACGGACUUGGUCCGCCCAGAAGAAAAACUGAGACUAAGGAUUCAGGAUUCAAAACCCGCCGAGAUUCUGCCGCGUUCAGGGAGGAAACUUCUUUAGAUCCAAAGUGACUUCCUGAGAUAAGACGACAGCAGAACCAAAAAUAAAUAAAAUAAGACGCCAGCAGAGUCCGCGGUUUACAUACACGCCCUGGGCCAUACCCUCGGCAUAGGAAAGUUCCGGAGCUACAGUGCCUGGCCUACGCCCCAGCUACAGCAACCAGAGGUCGAACUGUGUCUGCAAACUGCACCACAGCUCAAGGCAAAGCCGGAUUGCUAACCCACUGAGCAAGGCCAGGGAUCGAACCUGUGUCCUCAGGAAUACUUGUUGGGUUCAUUAACCACUGAGCCAAGAGGGGAACUCCAAUAAGGAAAUUUUAACACCAAUGCUAAGUGCAACUUGCACAAGUGCUUUGUGGACAUAUAUGUAGACCAUCAGCUACAUAUAUGUGGAUCAGGGAACCACAAGAAAAUGCAUAAAAGAGACAACAUGUGCGCUGCAUGUUGAGGUAUAAGUAGGAGUCCAAAGGACAAAUGAACAUGACUCAGAAGUCAUAGCUACUAGAUAGUGAGACUUGAGAGAGGGAGGGAGAAAGAGCUGAUCUGAACAGCAAAAUUCUACUAGACUGCUUGUUAAAAUGCAAAGGGCUGGGCCUCCACCCCUGGAGUUUCUCAUUUGGUCUAGAGUAGGGCCUGAAAACUGCAUUCCAGUGAUGCCGGUGCAGCCUGUCCAGGGUCCACACUUUGAAAACUACAUUAGAACCACUUUCUUAGAGAAAAGGUGAGGGUUUAUCGGUGUGGUUUGGUUUCUAAUAUUGGAAAAGAGCUAUGAGACAGAGGUGUAAGAUGGACCAGACCACACCGGACCCACCCUGGAACCCCCACCCCCCCCCACCCCAGGGAUCCAGUGUUUGAUGGCCUUGGGGGUCACAGGAGUGGCAGACAGGCAGGUAGGAACCAGAUGUGGGGGUCAGAGCAUGAUCCAGAGGCAGUUCUCUACACCCAACACCUGGGGCUGCUGCAGCUCCACACAGUGGCUCCUACAUGCUCAGGUAUUUCCUCAUCCCACACGGCCGCCAAGCCCUGCUCUGCUACACCGGAGCUGUUUGGCCCUAUUAUGUGAGCAGAGAAGCUCUGAUCACACUUUCUGAUCCAAAGAUAGGGUGACAUAAUCUGACGGGCAUGAUAGGGAUAACAUAUGCCUUCAAUCAGAUGGAAAUAGUAUUUAUUUUCUAAUUAUUUAAUAAUUACAUAAUUUGAUAAAUAAUUAGAUAAAUAAAUAAUAAAUAAUUAGAGAAAUAAAUUUAUUUCUCUAAUUAUUGAGCCUUUGAGCCCACAUGAAGACGCUAGAGGGUGUCCUGAGAUUGCUGCAGCUGCAAGCAUUGUGUCCAACCACCCGAAGAAUGAACGCCUUGUAGAUUAGACUUUCCUGCCCAAUUCAAAAUGUGGCUGAUUUCUUUGACCAAACAAAUUGCAUUUGUGGAUUAAUCAUGUCCUUAUUUAAUGUAAUUUAUUUGUUUUUUUUGGCUGCACCUGCAAUAUGUGCAAGUUCCUGGGCCAGGGAUCGAAUCUGCACCACAGCAGUGAUCCAAGCCACUGCAGUGACAACAUGGAAUCCUUAACCCACUGCACCACAAGGAAGCUCCCUCAUUUUACCUAUCAAUGAAUGAAAAACAGAUAUGUAAAGAAAGAAAAUGCAACUAAAUAAAACCCCAACAUACUGAAUUUAAAUGGUAAUAAAUAUCCUUCUUCAAGGAGAGAUACAUAUAUAUAAGC
rnacentral:lncRNA from 1 species